UGAGGAGGAGAUGUUUAUGGCAUCCUUGAUCUGCAAUUUGGAUGUCGAUUGUGAGAAGCUUCUAGUAUGCAAACCAGAUCUUGAUUGUAUAAAGACUCUGCAUUUUGACACCGAGGUAAACAGUAGUCUUCGAAAAUGUUACAGUUGGCCCCAAGAAUAUGCAUUGAAUGGUAGCACAAGUGGCGCUUCAGCAACAUACUUCCAGGGGAAAUCCCCGUUUCCAGUUUGGAUGCAUUUGUAGAAUCUGUUGCGACCAUCGGAAAUGUAUCAGGUUGUACCUUGCAGCCUGCAUCAGAAAAGUUUGAUAAUUUUCUGCUGUCACUUUGUAAAUAACUUGCUGCUUCUCUAGGCAAAAUUCGUAGCUGCUGGUAUUGGCUGUCAGAGUUUGCCCUCAUGGUCUAUAGCAUGUCAAGAAAUAGAUACCGUGAGCGAAUUGGCAGACAGCAUAAAAGCAAUCACGUGAUAUACGUUGCCGACCUCAGAAGGGCUGCUUAUUAUCAGAAAUGUCAUGAUCCUGACUGCAGAGGU